GCCAGGUGCAGUGGUGCAUACCUAUAAUCCCAGCAGCUCUGGAGGCUGAGGCAGGAGGAUUGUGAGUUCAAAGCUAGCCUUAGCAACAGUGAGGUGCUAAGCAACUCAGUGAGACCCUGUCUCUA
rnacentral:sRNA from 1 species